rnacentral:rRNA from 1 species
UCAGACGAUGCGUCAUGCAUAUCAAUAAGCGGAGGAAAAGAAACUAACAAGGAUUCCCCUAGUAACGGCGAGUGAAGCGGGAAGAGCUCAAAUUUGAAAUCUUAAAGGGUUUCCCUUUACGAAUUGUAGUUUAAAGAAGUGUUUUCUGUUGAGGUUUUGGUAAAAGUUCUUUGGAAUAGGACAUCAUAGAGGGUGAGAAUCCCGUAUUUGACCUUUACUUUCAACUUUGUGAUACACUUUCAAAGAGUCGGAUUGUUUGGGAAUGCAGUCCAAAAUGGGUGGUAAAUUUCAUCUAAAGCUAAAUAUUGGCGAGAGACCGAUAGCGAACAAGUACCGUGAGGGAAAGAUGAAAAGAACUUUGAAAAGAGAGUUAAACAGUACGUGAAAUUGUCAAAAGGGAAGCGUUUGACACCAGUGUUGUUUUUCUGAAAAUCAAUUAAAGAACUGUUUAUGCUAAGUUGUUUAGACUUUAUCAGCUACUGUUUAGUUUUGAGCUUUUCUUUAAUGCACUUUUCAGUUAACAAGUCAACAUCAAUUUCUUUUGCUGUAAAAAAGCUAGAGGAAGGUGGCUUGAGAUUCGUCUUAAGUGUUUAUAGCCUCUUGCCUAUGCAGUCGGAGAGAUUGAGGUCUGCAGCGUAGAUCCUUCGGGGCUAAAUGCAUUUGUGCUAAGUUAUAGCAUUUUAUAGACAACUUGUUGACUAUGAUUUGUCUUGUAGCUUACUCGCUUAUGUUAUUUUACCUACGCUUAGGAUGUUGACACACGCGCGUGCUCG